rnacentral:lncRNA from 1 species
CCUCAAUCCCAUCCCAUGAGUCUCUUAAAUGCUCUGUGAUUUAUCAGAGUUUUCUGCUUUUGCAGACCCCUUGGCAGAAAGAGCACACACUGCUGGAGUGCAAGAGCUUUGUUCAGAGCAGGGGAGGGGAAGCUGUGACUGCUAUUUUGGAUCUCACCUGGCAAAACCUAAGCUGAGUAGAAAAGUGUAAUUAUUUUAUCUUCACAUCUUCUUCCCCUCUCUAUGCUCUUGCAUCUAUGAGUUGGAUGAGGGCACGUUUUGUUUUAGGGCUUUUAUUCUCAGGAAUAAAAUACUAUGUGCAUCUCCUAGGAAGCUGUGUGGAUAAAACAUUGCUCAAGACUUAGGCUGCAAGCCAAGUUACAGAGAAUCAGUUCUACAUUCUGAGCUGUAUUGAAUGCAUUCCAGUUAGGAAACAAUGAUCAGUUUUGGAAUAUUUGUCUUAAAAUCCUUCUGAACAAAGUUCUUUAGAUUUGACUAAUGUUUUUUACUUUUGGUUAAGUCAUUAGGUGAUAUAAUGAUAUAUCAGACCUUCUCUGAAAGAAGAAAGAGGCCACCUAGUGCUGAAUUACAGACUGCUGUAGAAGACUAUCUGCUUGGAAGGCAUGUACAGCACCAACAAAAUCAAUAUCACAUGCAGAAAUGGAACUUUAAAAACCCAAGCAAACUCCUGCAGCUACAUUUAGUAAGAGAAGAUUGAAGUGCAUGCUAACCUUGACCUGAAUGCCAAGAAAGAUGCCCCAUGAUGUCAUGCUUAGUAUAUAAAAAGGAAGGAAGUGGCGGAAGGAAG